UUAAGUUAGAAAGGGCGCACGGUGGAUGCCUUGACACUAGGAGUCGAUGAAGGACGGGACUAACGCCGAUAUGCUUCGGGGAGCUGUAAGUAAGCUUUGAUCCGAAGAUUUCCGAAUGGGGAAACCCACCAUACGUAAUGGUAUGGUAUCCUUAUCUGAAUACAUAGGGUAAGGAAGACAGACCCAGGGAACUGAAACAUCUAAGUACCUGGAGGAAGAGAAAGCAAAUGCGAUUUCCUGAGUAGCGGCGAGCGAAACGGAACAUAGCCCAAACCAAGAGGCUUGCCUCUUGGGGUUGUAGGACAUUCUAUACGGAGUUACAAAGGAACGAGGUAGACGAAGCGACCUGGAAAGGUCCGUCGUAGAGGGUAACAACCCCGUAGUCGAAACUUCGUUCUCUCUUGAAUGUAUCCUGAGUACGGCGGAACACGUGAAAUUCCGUCGGAAUCUGGGAGGACCAUCUCCCAAGGCUAAAUACUCCCUAGUGAUCGAUAGUGAACCAGUACCGUGAGGGAAAGGUGAAAAGCACCCCGGAAGGGGAGUGAAAGAGAUCCUGAAACCGUGUGCCUACAAAUAGUCAGAGCCCGUUAACGGGUGAUGGCGUGCCUUUUGUAGAAUGAACCGGCGAGUUACGAUCCCGUGCGAGGUUAAGCUGAAGAGGCGGAGCCGCAGCGAAAGCGAGUCUGAAUAGGGCGUUUAGUACGUGGUCGUAGACCCGAAACCAGGUGAUCUACCCAUGUCCAGGGUGAAGUUCAGGUAACACUGAAUGGAGGCCCGAACCCACGCACGUUGAAAAGUGCGGGGAUGAGGUGUGGGUAGCGGAGAAAUUCCAAUCGAACCUGGAGAUAGCUGGUUCUCCCCGAAAUAGCUUUAGGGCUAGCCUUAAGUGUAAGAGUCUUGGAGGUAGAGCACUGAUUGGACUAGGGGUCCUCAUCGGAUUACCGAAUUCAGUCAAACUCCGAAUGCCAAUGACUUAUCCUUAGGAGUCAGACUGCGAGUGAUAAGAUCCGUAGUCAAAAGGGAAACAGCCCAGACCGCCAGCUAAGGUCCCAAAGUGUGUAUUAAGUGGAAAAGGAUGUGGAGUUGCUUAGACAACUAGGAUGUUGGCUUAGAAGCAGCCACCAUUUAAAGAGUGCGUAAUAGCUCACUAGUCGAGUGACUCUGCGCCGAAAAUGUACCGGGGCUAAAUACACCACCGAAGCUGCGGAUUGAUACCAAUGGUAUCAGUGGUAGGGGAGCGUUCUAAGGACAGUGAAGUCAGACCGGAAGGACUGGUGGAGUGCUUAGAAGUGAGAAUGCCGGUAUGAGUAGCGAAAGACGGGUGAGAAUCCCGUCCAUCGAAUGCCUAAGGUUUCCUGAGGAGGCUCGUCCGCUCAGGGUUAGUCAGGACCUAAGCCGAGGCCGACAGGCGUAGGCGAUGGACAACAGGUUGAUAUUCCUGUACCACCUCUUUAUCAUUUGAGCAAUGGAGGGACGCAGAAGGAUAGAAGAAGCGUGCGAUUGGUUGUGCACGUCCAAGCAGUUAGGCUGAUAAGUAGGCAAAUCCGCUUAUCGUGAAGGCUGAGCUGUGAUGGGGAAGCUCCUUAUGGAGCGAAGUCUUUGAUUCCCCGCUGCCAAGAAAAGCUUCUAGCGAGAUAAAAGGUGCCUGUACCGCAAACCGACACAGGUAGGCGAGGAGAGAAUCCUAAGGUGUGCGAGAGAACUCUGGUUAAGGAACUCGGCAAAAUGACCCCGUAACUUCGGGAGAAGGGGUGCUUUCUUAACGGAAAGCCGCAGUGAAUAGGCCCAAGCGACUGUUUAGCAAAAACACAGCUCUCUGCGAAGCCGUAAGGCGAAGUAUAGGGGGUGACACCUGCCCGGUGCUGGAAGGUUAAGGAGAGGGGUUAGCGUAAGCGAAGCUCUGAACUGAAGCCCCAGUAAACGGCGGCCGUAACUAUAACGGUCCUAAGGUAGCGAAAUUCCUUGUCGGGUAAGUUCCGACCCGCACGAAAGGUGUAACGAUUUGGGCACUGUCUCAACCAGAGACUCGGUGAAAUUAUAGUACCUGUGAAGAUGCACGUUACCCGCGACAGGACGGAAAGACCCCGUGGAGCUUUACUGUAGCCUGAUAUUGAAUUUUGGUACAGUUUGUACAGGAUAGGCGGGAGCCUUUGAAACCGGAGCGCUAGCUUCAGUGGAGGCGCUGGUGGGAUACCGCCCUGACUGUAUUGAAAUUCUAACCUACGGGUCUUAUCGACCCGGGAGACAGUGUCAGGUGGGCAGUUUGACUGGGGCGGUCGCCUCCUAAAGUGUAACGGAGGCGCCCAAAGGUUCCCUCAGAAUGGUUGGAAAUCAUUCGUAGAGUGCAAAGGCAUAAGGGAGCUUGACUGCGAGACCUACAAGUCGAGCAGGGACGAAAGUCGGGCUUAGUGAUCCGGUGGUUCCGCAUGGAAGGGCCAUCGCUCACGGAUAAAAGCUACCCCGGGGAUAACAGGCUUAUCUCCCCCAAGAGUCCACAUCGACGGGGAGGUUUGGCACCUCGAUGUCGGCUCAUCGCAUCCUGGGGCUGUAGUCGGUCCCAAGGGUUGGGCUGUUCGCCCAUUAAAGCGGUACGCGAGCUGGGUUCAGAACGUCGUGAGACAGUUCGGUCCCUAUCCGUCGUGGGCGUAGGAAAUUUGAGAGGAGCUGUCCUUAGUACGAGAGGACCGGGAUGGACGCACCGCUGGUGUACCAGUUGUUCUGCCAAGGGCAUAGCUGGGUAGCUAUGUGCGGAAGGGAUAAGUGCUGAAAGCAUCUAAGCAUGAAGCCCCCCUCAAGAUAAGAUUUCCCAUAGCGUAAGCUAGUAAGAUCCCUGAAAGAUGAUCAGGUUGAUAGGUUCGAGGUGGAAGCAUGGUGACAUGUGGAGCUGACGAAUACUAAUAGAUCGAGGACUUAACCAU
rnacentral:rRNA from 1 species